AUAAAUGAACCGAUGUCAGAUUAGGUAGUUGGGGGGGUAAGAGCUCACCAAGGCGACGAUCGGUAGCUGGUCUGAGAGGAUGAUCAGCCACACUGGAAGUGAGACACGGUCCAGACUCCUACGGGAGGCAGCAGUGGGGAAUAUUGGACAAUGGGCGCAAGCCUGAUCCAGCCAUACCGCGUGGGUGAAGAAGGCCUUCGGGUUGUAAAGCCCUUUUG
rnacentral:rRNA from 1 species